AGCUUUGCACAGUGGCAGUAUCCUAGCCAAUGAGGUUUAUCUGAGGCGCGAUUAUUGCUAAUUGAAAACAAAAGAAGAAUAACAAUAUAUAGUAGAAAGUUUAAUUUGGAAAAAAGGGUUUAUUCU
rnacentral:snRNA from 1 species